UACGUAGGGUGCAAGCGUUAUCCGGAAUUAUUGGGCGUAAAGAGCUCGUAGGCGGUUUGUCGCGUCUGCUGUGAAAACUGGGGGCUCAACCCCCAGCCUGCAGUGGGUACGGGCAGACUAGAGUGCGGUAGGGGAGAUUGGAAUUCCUGGUGUAGCGGUGGAAUGCGCAGAUAUCAGGAGGAACACCGAUGGCGAAGGCGGGUCUCUGGGCCAAAACUGACGCUGAGGAGCGAAAGCGUGGGGAGCGAACAGG
rnacentral:rRNA from 1 species